UUGGUCUUCUUCAUGCGUGAUGUGAUUGUGUGUGUGUUCUCUGAGGUCCUAUCAAGUACCAUCUAUGUGUAGUCCUGCCACUAUUAGCACAGCACUAUGUGCACAGAGGUGCCUGGACUCCGCACUGACUGUACGGGACAGAUGAUCCCUUGGUGGAAGCCGGAUGGAAAAGAACCCUGAUGCCCAAGGAGUCCCCCACCACUCUUGCCUGGGGUCACUAGAGUCGCCCUGCACAGAUACAGGCUAUGUGCAGAGACCAGAAGGUAAAAUCUCAGCCUAUACGGAGCCUCCAGGCUGAGCAAGAGGGACAGCCAAGCAGUUUCUCGUGGAUUCUGUGGCCUGCAGGUCCAGACAGUUCUGCCUUAUGAAUCCAUUGGGUAGCUUGGUGGUAAGAUGCAACCCAUCAUCAAGAAAAGAGCUGAAGAGAGCCUUGCUGUCCACGCCUAGCCAGCACGCCACUCAGGACUUCUGAAUUCACUUGUUUUCUGGCCAGCAUGAGCCAACUGGAGCUGUGAUUCUUCGUGUUGCUCUCCAAGACCCAAUGCCAAGUGCAUCUGAGAUACUUCAACAAUUGCCUCGGCAUGGCUGCGUGCCGCCACUGCGUGUUUGCUGUAAUUACACAGCCUCCGAAGGAGGAGCACAAAAGACUUGUUGAAUUUGGAUGGGCUCAGGCCCCUGAGAGAUGAGGGCUGACCUGGGCUCCUGGCAGAGAGUUGUGGGCGGGCAUGCCUGCUGCCCUGGUAAGGACGUGACCAGCUGGAGCAAACCUUGAACCUGGGCCAUGGCCGCCAGAAGCUGCCCGCUUGCCGGGCUCUCCUGCCAGCUGACUAAAGAGCCGGUUUGCUUUUGGAGAAUAACCGGAGAGAACGCAGAACUGGAGCCUAUAAAAAGCAGCUCCCUCCUUCCUCCAGCCAACCCCUGAAUGAUAAUCAUCUCUGAAGCUGGCCAACCUCCCUCCUUCCCGCCACCCUCCCUUACUCUCCCCCUUACCUCCUCCCUCUCAAGUGGCUAAACAGGCUCAUUGU